ensembl:lncRNA
UGUGCAGGUACCACAGGUGCUCUUUAAAACACACAGCGAUGAAAGAGUCACAUGACCCGCGCCGAUGCUCUGAGCCGUGAUGGCGAGGUGUUGAGAGGCUGCGGAGGAAAAGAGUGCACGAUAAUGAUGAUAAUAGCUGUGCAGGUGGUCUAAUUGCUGCUUUAAUGAGAACAUGGAGCCUGGUGAUCACUGGAUCCCUGAUGAUGUCGCUCAAUGGCUUAAUCACAUUGGAAUCCACCAGCACCAGCCGUCUCUCAACAUGCUGUAUGGU